CCCCCCCCCGCCACAAACGGCACCGGCCCAUGCAGCCAGCCCUGCAGGGGGUUAGUAGUCCCACUACACUCUCCCAGGGCACGUCUACGAGUUCAUCAACGCGCUUUAGAUUUGGGGUCCCAGUUGCCAGCGCUUUGUUAGGGGGUUCCAGAACUUGCAAGUUAAAAAUGUCAUUCAAUACAUCCUUGUACAACUUUCUUACAUUGACAAUCCUUGAGUCUAUGGAAGAAUGUCUGAAGAUUAAAUGAGGGAAAUAUACAAGAAGAAAUUUUGAACAGAUUGAGGUCAUUUUUUGCCAAUAAACUCUGAUUAAUGCAAGGUAAUGGAACCUCAAGAAACUCUUAAGGAUCAUCUGUUAUCUUCUUAUAUUGUAAGAAAAAGUAGAUCUAGUCAAAGAAUGUAAAUGCUCCCAGCCUUCAAAAUCCACCCUCUAACUCUCUAUGAUUUAACAUGCAUUCCAUCUAAGUAAGUGAUCAUCAUAAUUCAGCGUGCCUGAGUAACUACCUCUUCUGUAGCAUCACCUUAAUAAAUUAAUCUUCUAAUGCAUUUCCUGAUAGUCUACACUAGACUUUUCUUUAUAUAGUCUCAGUUUUUAUUAGUUUCUGGGGACAUGUGUUAAUACAUGUUGUUUUUUCUGCUCAGUUUUGCAAAUAAAUUAAAAUGUAAUGUAUUUUAAAUUAUAGCAUCCUCAUCUUCAUUGUGAUCAGACUACCUGCUUAACCACAUCUUACUACAUUCAUUUGUUUUAUGCCUUUGUAAAAGAUACACAGACUAGUCAAUUAAAAGGUAUUGCCCUGCCUCUCUCCAUUAUAUGUGAGGGUCUUCAAUAUUUGCUUGUUCAUUUUAGGCCUAAACCUCUACAUUUGUGUCAGAAUUUAAGUAGCUCUUUAAUUAAGGGUAGUGUUUUGAGCUGCAUGGAACUUAGUUAAUGUGGAAAAAUAAGUGAUCAAAAGAGAAUGGGACUUAUAAGAUCCUAGUGGUAUUUUCACUUAAAAUGCUUGCAACACAGGUUAAAGACUGGCAUUUUUACUGGUAAAAGCAAAAUUCAGACAAUGACCAACAGGAGGGAUAGGUAGGGAGUGUAGUCUAGUGGAUGACUGCAAUCCAGUGACUAGCACAAGAAUUGCUUAACUAAGGUCCUAGCUUCCUGGAUGAUUGUGUCAGGGCACUUAACACACCUGUCGCUUUUUUUUAAGAGGGGAAGAGGCUGUGUACGAAGCAACCUGCAGGUGUGGCAGGGGUCAAUUAAAGAGUCACCUGACCAGACAGUGACCUGGCUUGAAGUAUAUAAGCCCAGGGCCUGAGCUGGGCAGGCAGUCUAGCCCUGAGAUACAUAGAGAGAAGAGCUCCUUGGCAGCAGGGCUCCUGAUUUAAUAACUGAGCUGGUGGGGGUAAGCAACACCUGGUGGUUUGUUGAAGGGACUAAAGAGAAGGUAAGGAAGUCCUAGCUGGCCCAAAAAGGAGGGAGGGCUCAGAAGGCCAGGGAGCCCAGAGGGCUGUACCCCAGGACGGGUGUGUCAACAGGGCCAGGGAGCCUGAGGGUCUCACUAGCCCAGGAGUAGGGCCAGGGCCCAGCGAUGGGCCAAAGGCUGAGGAGAGCCAGAGACUGGUGGGGCUGGGGGAGCCCAGGAGUUUUGAUUGGCCUAGAAGCAGGGCCAGGACCCAGAGAGAGGAGCCAAAGACCAGGGGUCAUAGCUGGAGACCAAGGGGACUAAGAAGUCUGUAGCCCAAAAAGGGGCAGGACUGGGGCUGGGACCCCAUAGCCUAGGAGGGCCAGGUGUGUGUUGGUAGGAAUGAGUAUAAUAUGUGAGGCAUGGGUAUGGUGUAAGGGUUGGUCAGAGCCAUGUAAUUAGCCCUUAAGGUAAUGAGCACAGACACCCAUGUUCAAAAGAGGAGAUCUGACUUGAGGAGCCCUGGGGCAGCCUCCCUUUCCUAAAAGUAUAAUUUCAUCAAGAUGUGGCAAGUGAGGGGUAAAGGAAAUGGCCCAAAGAAAGCCAAGGAGGCAAGGACUAAGGAGGCUCCAGGGUCAUCCUAGCCACCCCUGAAGUUGAACCCUGUUAGUGACUCACUGGGCCAUAUUUGUAUUUCAGCAUCUAAACUGAGAUAAAGUACAAAUGUCUAUCAGCCCCCAAAAGAAUGACAUGACUUAUGAGAGGUAUUCAUUUCUGUGAGC